rnacentral:rRNA from 1 species
GGAAUAUUGGACAAUGGGCGAAAGCCUGAUCCAGCCAUGCCGCGUGUGUGAAGAAGGUCUUCGGAUUGUAAAGCACUUUAAGUUGGGAGGAAGGGCCAUUACCUAAUACGUGAUGGUUUUGACGUUACCGACAGAAUAAGCACCGGCUAACUCUGUGCCAGCAGCCGCGGUAAUACAGAGGGUGCAAGCGUUAAUCGGAAUUACUGGGCGUAAAGCGCGCGUAGGUGGUUUGUUAAGUUGGAUGUGAAAUCCCCGGGCUCAACCUGGGAACUGCAUUCAAAACUGACUGACUAGAGUAUGGUAGAGGGUGGUGGAAUUUCCUGUGUAGCGGUGAAAUGCGUAGAUAUAGGAAGGAACACCAGUGGCGAAGGCGACCACCUGGACUGAUACUGACACUGAGGUGCGAAAGCGUGGGGAGCAAACAGGAUUAGAUACCCCAG